AAUACCCUGCUGUGUGCGUGAUUGAUGCCUCCAGGUCCUGAGCCAACACCCUAAAAUAGGGACCCUGAUUCGCGAUCAUGAUGCGAUAGGCGCAAGCCAAGGCAAAGUAUCGGAGCGGGCCCUUCCUGCGUAUGCAGGUUCAUGACAUGGUAUCACACGGCAUGGCGGGGUAUUC
rnacentral:other from 1 species